UACAGAGGCCUCAAGCGUUGUUCGGAUUCAUUGGGCGUAAAGGGUGCGCAGGCGGUCGGGUAAGUCGGAUGUGAAAUCCUGGGGCUCAACCUCAGAACUGCAUUCGAUACUGCUUGGCUAGAGGAUUGGAGAGGAGAGUGGAAUUCACGGUGUAGCAGUGAAAUGCGUAGAGAUCGUGAGGAAGACCAACGGCGAAGGCAGCUCUCUGGACAAUUCCUGACGCUCAGGCACGAAGGCCAGGGGAGCAA
rnacentral:rRNA from 1 species